UCGCCUGUUUAUCAAAAACAUGGUUUCUUGAUUAAUAUUUAAGAGAUCUGGCCUGCCCACUGAAAAUUUUUGAAGGGCCGCAGUAUUUUGACUGUGCGAAGGUAGCAUAAUCAUUAGUCUUUUAAUUGAAGGCUUGUAUGAAUGGUUGGAUGAGGUGAAUACUGUUUUAUAUUAUUUUUUUUGAAUUUAGAUUUUAAGUAAAAAUACUUAAAUUAUAUUAAGGGACGAGAAGACCCUAUAGAGUUUAAUAAAUGUAUUAAUAAAUUGAGUUAAUAAGAAUUUUUUGGUUUUUAUGAAAUUUAUUUAAUUGGGGUGAUUAAAGAAUAUGGGAAACUUCUUUUUAAUUUUAAUAUUUAUAUAUAGUUAUAUGAUCCAUUAUUAGUGAUUAAAAGAUUAAAUUACCUUAGGGAUAACAGCAUAAUUUUCUUUGAGAGUUCAUAUCGAAAGGAAAGAUUAUGACCUCGAUGUUGGAUUAAGAUUUGUUUAAGGUGUAGAUGUUUAUAAACUAGGUCUGUUCGACCUUUAAAAUCUUACAUGAUCUGAGUUCAAACCGGAGA
rnacentral:rRNA from 1 species